rnacentral:rRNA from 1 species
GACGAGCACGCCGCGUGAGUGAGAGGUUUUCGGAUCGUAAAGCUCUGUUGUAAGAGAAGAACGGGUGUGAGAGUGGAAAGUUCACACUGUGACGGUAUCUUACCAGAAAGGGACGGCUAACUACGUGCCAGCAGCCGCGGUAAUACGUAGGUCCCGAGCGUUGUCCGGAUUUAUUGGGCGUAAAGCGAGCGCAGGCGGUUAGAUAAGUCUGAAGUUAAAGGCUGUGGCUUAACCAUAGUAUGCUUUGGAAACUGUUUAACUUGAGUGCAGAAGGGGAGAGUGGAAUUCCAUGUGUAGCGGUGAAAUGCGUAGAUAUAUGGAGGAACACCGGUGGCGAAAGCGGCUCUCUGGUCUGUAACUGACGCUGAGGCUCGAAAGCGUGGGGAGCAAACA